CUUAUCUGCAGGUAGUGAGUCAAGGAAAACACCAGGGAAAAACUCAGGAGGACAACGAGGAUCACAGAGACAUUGAAGUAACAACGAAAACACAGUGUGGAACCCUUCAGAUAUAGCAGUGGGAACUAGCAGUGACACCAAAAAUUCUGCUUUGACUUCCUUUAUUACUGCUUUUCUGGUGGCAAAGAAACAGAGAAACUAACUGGCCAAGUUUUGUCAGAAACUGCUGCUUGUCAAGAUUUUGUGAAACAAUGGCACAACAUAAUAUCAGCAUCAACGACUCAACUGAACCAGUUUACGAUGAUUUAGCGGCUAAG